rnacentral:rRNA from 1 species
GAUGAACGCUGGCGGCGUGCCUAAUACAUGCAAGUCGAACGCGAAGCCUGAUUUCGGUUAGGCGGAGAGUGGCGAACGGGUGAGUAACACGUAGCUGACCUGCCCUUCAGAGGGGGACAACGACUGGAAACGGUUGCUAAGACCCCAUACGCUCACGGGGAUUAGAAGCCUGUGAGGAAAAGCUCCGGCGCUGAAGGAGGGGGCUGCGACCCAUCAGCUAGUUGGUAGGGUAAAGGCUUACCAAGGCGAGGACGGGUAGGGGACCUGAGAGGGUGACCCCCCACACUGGCACUGAGAGACGGGCCAGACUCCUACGGGAGGCAG